AUGAUAUCUAAACAUAUUGUAGCCCGAGCCCGAUUGCUAGCCCGGCCCGUUGGUCGUAGCUCAAAGCCCGCGAAUAAGCUCCAAAGCCGGCGGUAUUCAUCAGCUCCGGCUUCUACUCCUUCAACGGCGGCUAAUGUACCUUCAAAAAGCUCUUUGAAUGAAGAUGAGCUGAAGAAGUUCGCCGCCAUUGCCGAGACAUGGUGGGAAGCUGAAGGACCGUUCAAGCCGCUGCACGCGAUGAAUCCGACGAGGCUUGCGUUUAUUAGGUCUACGUUGUGUCGACAUUUUGGGAAGGAUCCAUGCUGUUCGAGGCCGUUUGAAGGAUUGAAAUUUGUGGAUAUUGGUUGUGGAGGAGGGAUUUUGUCUGAGCCUUUAGCACGGAUGGGCGCAAGUGUUACAGGAGUUGAUGCUGUGGAAAAGAAUAUCAAGAUUGCUCAGCUUCAUGCGGAUUUGGAUCCAACAACUUCCUCUAUUGACUAUCUUUGUACAACAGCUGAGAAAUUGGUGGAAGAGCAUAGGAAAUUUGAUGCUGUACUUGCGCUAGAGGUAAUCGAGCAUGUGGCAGAUCCUGCUGAUUUCUGCAAAUCGUUGUCGGCUUUGACUGAGAAUGGUGGAGCUACUCUGAUCUCAACGAUAAAUCGAUCAAUGAGAGCAUAUGCAACAACUAUCGUUGUGGCAGAAUAUCUCUUGCGUUGGCUACCAGCAGGGACGCAUGACUGGUCGAGCUUUCUCACUCCAGAAGAGCUAGUCCUAAUUCUUCAGCGAGCUUCAGUUUCUGUCCAAGAGAUGGCUGGAUUCGUCUACAACCCCCUGACAGGGCGAUGGUCUCUCUCUGACAAUAUCGGUGUAAAUUUCAUUGCAUACGGCACAAAGAACUUCGAAUAGAUCAGGUGAAAUAGUGCAGGAUUUGAGGAUACUGAAACUUCCAAUUACACAUGAUUAUCUUAUGAACUCCACUUAGACACCAAUGGGUGCAGUCCAAAUCCCUAUGGCCUCCAUGCCCAUAAACAGAUGGAUGUCCAUCAAUUCUCAACUGUGAUAAUCCUGUGAUCUUCUGUAAAUAGACAUCUUUGUCCAUUGCUCCCAGAACUUUCUCCAGCACCACCUCUGCUGGGUGAGGGCUUCCCGGACUUUUUACUGGUAACGUAUGCCCCGUGCACCUUUUCAUGACCAUAUAGGAAUGUUAUGCUACAUAUUCUACGCGAAACGCCCUGGAAGAAUACUUGAGUUUUGGUUGGAUCAAUGUUGGAAUCGAUCCAUUUGGCCCAUGUGUUGAGUGCUUUCUCAUACGCAACCAUGCGGUCUAGGUCUUUCACCGUCGUGUUUCCAUACACAACCCAAUCCCAGCUGUGACCAGGACAAACACAAACAUGUAAGAAAUUCGUACUAUUAAUUACUACUUCAUCCGUUCCAAGUUAACCGAUUUGUAUUUCUUUUUGGGACGUCCCAAGUUAAAUGAGUUAUUUCUGAUUC